rnacentral:rRNA from 1 species
AUGCAGAUCUUCGUCAAGACCAUCACCGGGCAGACUCUCACCCUCGAGGUCAAGGGCACCGACACCGUCGACGCAAUCAAAGCUCAGAUCCAGGACAAGCAAGGGAUCGCCGGCACCGCCUCCGAGGACCCGCACCAGCUGCCGUCUCUCGUCUUCGCCGGGAAGCAGCUAGACGAGGAGGACGGCCGGACGCUGGCCGACUACGGCAUCGGCAAGGAGUCGACGCUGCACCACGUGCUCGGCCUCCGCGGCGGCUUCCGGCAACGAAGCUGGUACCCCCACAUCAACCCCACCCUCCUAGCGCUUGCGCUCCGCUACAACGAGAACAAGAUGAUCUGCCGCAAGUGCUAUGGACGUCUUCCUCCGGGGGCUACCAACUGCCGCAAGAAGAAGUGUGGCCACACCAAUGACCUAAGGCCGAAGAAACGUUUCGAUGGUAGAGCAGGUUUACGGGGGAAAUAG